rnacentral:rRNA from 1 species
UGGGGAAUUUUGGACAAUGGGCGCAAGCCUGAUCCAGCAAUGCCGCGUGCAGGAUGAAGGCCUUCGGGUUGUAAACUGCUUUUGUACGGAGCGAAAAGGUCUGCCCUAAUACGGUGGGCUCAUGACGGUACCGUAAGAAUAAGCACCGGCUAACUACGUGCCAGCAGCCGCGGUAAUACGAAGGGUGCAAGCGUUAAUCGGAAUUACUGGGCGUAAAGCGUGCGCAGGCGGUUAUGCAAGACAGAGGUGAAAUCCCCGGGCUCAACCUGGGACCUGCAUUUGUGACUGUAUAGCUAGAGUACGGUAGAGGGGGAUGGAAUUCCGCGUGUAGCAGUGAAAUGCGUAGAUAUGCGGAGGAACACCGAUGGCGAAGGCAAUCCCCUGGACCUGUACUGACGCUCAUGCACGAAAGCGUGGGGAGCAAACA